GGUUUGGCUGUGUCCCCACCUAAAUCUCACCUUGAGUUCCUAUGUGCUGUGAAAGGGACCUGAUGGGAGGUAACUGAAUCAUGGGGGCAGGUCUUUCCUGUGCUCAUGAUAGUGAGUAAGUCUCAAGAAAUCUGAUGGUUUUUACAAGGGGGAAUUUUCCUGCACAAGCUCUCUUUGCCUGCUGCCACCCAUGUAAGACGUGACUUGCUGCUCAUUGCCUUCUGCCGUGAUUGUGAAGCUUCCCCAGCAACGUGGAACAGCCCCCGAGUAGAAUGGGAGAGCUCCAGAUGCAACUGACUAACUGAAGAUGUCACAAAGGCUGAAUCUUCUAUGCUACACUUUGGAUCACUAGAAGGACCAGAGUGUAGUCAACGAUGUGUAAACAACUGAGAAAAACUUUUCUCUGGAAACAACUGUGAUUUUGAAAUUCAGUGGUUUCUUCUUUCUAGCUGAGAAACAUUGAGCAAGUCACUGCAAUAACAUGGAAUCCAGCUGCUUUAUCUGGUGAAUUAGGAUAAUUCAUAGUGUACAACUAGGAUUACAAUUAAUUUAUCAGUUAAUAUUGCUGCAAAGAAAAUCAUUCUAUAAGUUAAUGGCUUAAAACAACGAUUAUUUAAUACACUUUUUCUCUGUGGGUAAACCGUGUGGUUUCUCUAGUCUGGGUUAGUUAGUUUGGGCUUGGAUGACUUAGAAUGUUCUCAGUCACACAUCUCUGGCCUCUGCUGGGGUGUCUGGGAAAGCUGAACUCCUUGUUUUCAUGGGCUGUCACUCCGGGAGUUAGCUUAAGGUUAUACUUAUGAUAGAAAAGUUCCCAGAAGCAAAAGCGAGUCAGCCUUAAUGUGCAAGCACUUCUUAGCAACCUGCUUCCAUUAGGGUUGCUAAAAUCCCGUAGGCUGAAGUAAGUCAUAGGACCAAGCAGAAAUGAGGUGGGAAAAUAAACUCAUUUUCUUCACAGGAGCAGCCUCAAAAAGUUUGUGGUCACAAACUCUUCACUUUUUUUUUUUUUUUUUUUGCAGUUUCCAACAGGGUAGAUUUGAGUAUUAGUGAAAAUGAAUGCAAAGUGUUUGUCAUGUAGUAAGAACUAAAUACAUUUUAUAAUUGUUAAUGUGUUUUACCAGCCAUACUUUUUAUCAUCCUAUGAUUUAACAAACAUGCAUUAAGAAAAUGUGUGGGUAAGGCUGCUUCAAUUAUAAUCACUUGAGUCCUUUAAGGUUCUGCUUAUGUUAUACAGGAUAUAGAAAGUCAUCCCAACAUACUGACUGUCUCAAAUGUAUUUUGUUUUGGAUUUCCCAACUAUAUCACAGCCUGUUACGAACACUUAGUUACAUAAGUACAUUCCAUCUUAUGUCUUCAUUUACUUAUUUCAUGACUUAAGUUUUAUACCAACUCCUCCCUAGUUAGAUUUUAAUCCCGUUGAGUAAAAAGAGGGAUUAUAUUUAUCUGACAUAAUUAGGACUACCUAGUACAGCAUUGGAUCUGAAUUUUAGAUUCUAAACAAGAAUAUUAAUAUCAACUUCCCAACUCUAUUAUAUAUACCACUGCAUUCAAUAUAUACCAAUCUAGUACAGUUAACAUCGUAGGUAGCAUUGUGACAUGAGCCCUCAAAUAGGUAGACAAUCCUGGGAUUGAGUACUGGGUCUAUGAAUAGCUUUGUGACCAUGGACAAUAGUAAGCUUCUCUGAGCUUGUUUUCUGUUAUAGCAAGAAGAAAAAUAUAUUUUAUAAUGAUAAUGUUAAAACAAAAAUGUCUUGCUAAUAUGGAUUGGAUUUGUGUCCCUGCCCAAAUCUCAUGUUGAAUUGUGAUCCCCAGUUUUAGAGAGGUACCUGGUGGGAAGUGAUUGGAUCAUGGAGGAGGAUUUCCCCCUUGCUCUUCUCAUGACAGUGAGUGAGUUCUCAUGACAUCUAGUUGUUUAAAAGUACAUAGCACCUCCCCUUUUUCUCUCUUCCUCUAUCUCCAGUCAUGUAAGACAUGCCUGCUAUGCCCUCUCUCACCACUCCUAUUCAACAUAGUGUUGGAAGUU
rnacentral:lncRNA from 10 species